CCUACGGGUGGCAGCAGUGAGGAAUAUUGGUCAAUGGACGAGAGUCUGAACCAGCCAAGUAGCGUGAAGGAUGACUGCCCUAUGGGUUGUAAACUUCUUUUAUAUGGGAAUAAAACGUUCCACGUGUGGGAUUUUGUAUGUACCAUAUGAAUAAGGAUCGGCUAACUCCGUGCCAGCAGCCGCGGUAAUACGGAGGAUCCGAGCGUUAUCCGGAUUUAUUGGGUUUAAAGGGAGCGUAGGUGGAUUGUUAAGUCAGUUGUGAAAGUUUGCGGCUCAACCGUAAAAUUGCAGUUGAAACUGGCAGUCUUGAGUACAGUAGAGGUGGGCGGAAUUCGUGGUGUAGCGGUGAAAUGCUUAGAUAUCACGAAGAACUCCGAUUGCGAAGGCAGUUCACUGGACUGCAACUGACACUGAGGCUCGAAAGUGUGGGUAUCAAACAGGAUUACAUACCCCAGUAGUC
rnacentral:rRNA from 1 species